GGGGAGGCGGCGCCAUGUUCGGCGAGGAGGCGGCUCCCGGUCGGGAAACCGCCCCGGGCAGCGGGAGCGCUCCGGCGUCUCCCCCAGGCUCGAUGAUCCGGUGGCUCCAGGAGUGUCCGAGUGUCCCGCUCGCCCGGUGUGUCCGUCUGUGCCUCCCUGUCCCUGCACAGCAAACCGGGCACUGGGAACGGGCUGCCCCGUGUUCCCGCACAGCCCAACAGCUCUAGUAAGAGUUAAGUAUUGGAGCAGUUUUACCAACAUCAGUGUUUCCAAAUCACAGAACUCCCAGCUAAACACCUCCUUUACCGGUACCCAGAUGCGAUUCUGCUGUCGCUGAGCUCUUCCGUGGCUGUCAGGGAUGCUGGGGGAACGAGCCCAGUCCAAAACACGACCCAGCUUUGGGAGGAGAGCAAUCCCCGUUGAAGCCUCACAUCCCACGUCCUUCACGGCAGCAAAGAAUGUGUUUUGACAGCUCUGCACCUCCCCACCACAGCCCCAGCCGUGACACACUGUAUUCAGCUUUUAAAACAAGCUUUUCACCUGACACCAGUGACAGGGAACGCUCUCCCUCCACACAGCUCCAAACUAUCCAUUUCUUUUUAUUAACAGCAGAGCAUUAAUCUCAAUUGUGGGCUAUUGAUCUGUGCAUUUUAUCACACUCUCUCGCAUUAUCAUCUACGACAAACUGGACUGUUUGAGUUAUAUUAUCAAUUUAGAGGGGGGGGAAAGUGGGAGGUAUAUUUGAUUUAAUUCCUGAAACAUCUUCAAGAUUCCUCUUAUUCGAAUUCUACUUUGUUUGAGCUUUAGGAGGAAAAAAAAAAAGAUCUUUCAAUGGCCAUUAACAGAGAUAAAUUUUCUCUCUGUUCAAUAACUUUAUAAUUUAGUUCCUACACUAAAAAUUAAUAGAGCCCCAACUCCUAAGUAUCUAAGGGACUGGUGCUGCCCACACAGACGUCUUUCUGUUCAAAUGAACCUUUUACCUGCAGUCCCUGUGUACCUUUCACUCAGGUUCAUUUCAAUCAGACUCAUUUUCUAUUAAAUUUUAAAGAAUAGGACACAAAAUGAGAGAAUUUCUAUAGACCUGCAAUUUUUCUAAAAUGUCUUUUUCAUUUACAAGGCUAUGGGGAAAACCAACUCAAUUUGCCAAAUUUGCAUAAAUAUUAUGUAGAUUUUCCAGGGCUAAUCAUAACCUUAAUCCCCCAUUCUGAUUUGUGUAAUCAAACUUGAAGGGUUUUUAUAUCUUAAGAUAUAAAAUCAUGUGGUUUUUUUCAUACAGCUUUGGUUUUGCCAGACUUCUGCUUGAUCAGAAAUUUUCAUUCUUAAGGCAGCAUUUGAAACAAACAGUUGAUAUUUAUUUUAUCAGCCCGCAGAAUUCCUGCUGUGAGAACAGAAUGUCACCAAAAUCUAAUUCUAUGUUUUUGUCCUCGACGUUGGGGGAAAAUCUGUGAUGCAAGAACACAAUCUAUGAUUUUUUUAAUACGUAUCAUAAAAUAUCCUCCAAGUCCUGUGUUUGACCGCCCCGAGAAUCCCCUCUUCAAAAGUUUCUGACACAGGAGGUUGAAGGCUCCUAGAAAUAAAAAUAAUUAAUUAAUUAAAAAAUAAUUAAGCUGAUUUUCCCCACGAAAUCUGCAGCUGCCACCCCGUCAGCAAGAACCACGAGUAGGUUUCCUGUUUAUAAUUACGCCUCCAAAGUUAUUUGAAUGCAACAGCAUUCAAAACCUGCAAAGGAACAAUAUAUCAGUUCUUUAAUUACAGGAGGAUGGUGGAGCAGCCCGGGACUGGUGUAAAUUCGGGUUGUUUUUGUGGGGGAAACGUUCUCCAGCAGUGCCAGACUCGCCACUCGCAGUCUGCUGCUGCUCUCUGCUGCUUCCCGGCGCCGUGGAGAGGACGGGGGGGGAGCUGGAGGUGGCCACGGCAAGAAAAAUAAAUUAUUUAUUACCAAGGAAAAGCAAAAUGCUGAGGCAGAAGGGCAGGAAAAUCAUUAGGUUGGAAUCUCGCAGGAGCGCUCCGGGAGAAAUCCCACUGCGCUGUGGUUAGCGGGGUGAUUUGCAAGGCCUUCAGAAAAGUAAGGAAAGGAGUUAUUACUUGUUUAAUUCCCUCUGCAAAGUUGCCCAACACAAGUCAUUUUCUAUCUCUGCCACUGAUAUCAUAUAAUGGAGUUUUGAGUCCCUCCACCAGAACUCCAUCCAAAGGAAGGAAGGAGCAAUUCUCCUGGUAGUAUUCUUGAAUAUUCCAGGAUCUGGAUCUGGGUUUUUCCUUGCUGUUGCUGGAGGGAUGUGGGAGCUCAGUCUCUCCUGUCAGGAGUUACAGUGUGCAACCAAAAUUGGGACCCGAAAUUCCUCUAGUCCUGGGCUCAGAUCCCUGGAUAAAAGGGGCAGGAGGCACAGGAAGGAUGCAGAGGACAGAGUCAGAAAGUCCUACAUUUUCAUUAUAGCUCCUGCUCGGCAUCUCUGGGAAUUUAACCUCACUACUACUGGAAUGUGCCCAGUUAUGACACAGGAACAACAUGUAUUUACUAUGUACCACAGUUCAACAGUAAACAUUUAACUAUUAAAAUGUUUUGGAAUGCUGUAUUCCCAGUACAUGUUACAUGGAAUUCAAUGCAGUUUCUAUAAAACAGACUCCAGGAACCGGGAUCUAUGUGCCAGUCCUUGGUUCACUGGAUUCAGUUUAUCUGCUUCCUCCCUGUGCCAGUUUCCAGGCAGGAAUUAAAAAUAACACAGGACAAGCUCUUCAUUCCCUGGAAAAAAUGGCAGUUGUUUUAGGAGCCCAUGUUUUCCUGUCUUUUAGAAAAGACAUUGAUACGUGUUUAUAAAAUAAUGGAUCGUGGUGAAAUCCACCUUUUUCUUUCCCUUCCCAUGUCUUCCAACAGCUCGGGAGUGCAGCAAACUGAAUUCCCUCAGGCUCCUGAAAGAAGUAGGUCAACAGUGUCCAGGCUUUCUAAACAUAUUCUUCCCUCAAAUGCAUCUCCUGGAAAGAAUCACCCAAGUGCUCCACCUUAAUCGAUACAUGUAUGGAUUAACAUUCCUUAAGCAUUAAAGCUUCCACAAAACUGCCUCCCCACCAGCCCUUCCAGUCACUCUGCAGUUUCUCUGGAAUAAGAGGCAAAGGAGUGUUUGUGAACCAAAUAUCAGGAAAUAAUUGAUCUUAUUUUCAAUUCAAGUUCAAUAAUUGAUCUUCGUUUCAACUCACGGGGAGCAGAAUCAGGCCUCAAAUGGAUCUUUUAAAGCUCUUCCUCACAGUAAACUCCUCUUGGAGUGAAAAAAAACCAACACAAAGGUAAACCUGAUUUAGGCUGAAUUAGUAAAUGUUUGGUUCUUGCUUUAAAUGAUGAAGAUAUAUUGAAAUAAAGCAGAUUACACGAUUUGAAGGUAACUCCAGCAGUUGGCCUGGGCCACAGUGGCUGUGUGUGGUUAAUGAUGUUCUGUCCCCCCCCCAGCUGCAGGGGCUGCAUAAUUGUUUUUUCUGUCAACCUAUAAAUUCUUGAGUAACAACAAAAUUAUUGUGAUUUUUCUUGCUAAAUAAUUCAUAUCUCACCAAGCACGUGGACACCCAGGCCCAUGAAUCACUGAGCACGUUACAGUGAGAUCUGAUGGCAUUUCUUCUUGUAAGAAUAAAACCAGCUUUGGGGGUUAAACCUGGUAAAAAUCAGGUGUUAAAAUUUCAAACUUACCUUUUAAGCUUGAAAGUUUCCUUGAUCAAACUUCUCGUCCGCAGGAUUGCUUUUAAUCAUGUUUUGUGGUGUUAAUUCUAUUAAGAUUAUUAAUAUCACUGAAAGUAAUAGAUUGGUUUUCUAAUGAACUAGAACAGGGCUCAUAAACUGUGCUUAAAGUGAUGCAAUUUGCUUUUGAAAUCACUCCAAGUCGUGUGUAUUUUGCUUUUUAAAAGACUUAAAUGCAAAACCAACAUCUUAUUCUUUUCUAGAAAUAAAUCUUUUAAACAAACUUUGGGAUACAUUAGUGACAAUUUUAAUUCUACAUCCCCUUGAUGCAAUGGUGGAGUUGCCACUUUUUCUUAGGUGUAUUUAAACUGAAAAAUACAGCCCAAAAAGUGUAACCUGACAUCUGUUUCCAGAACCAGGGAAAGAAAUCAAGACAACUCUCAGAUUUAUUAACUUACUUCUCUGCAGUGAACAUGAGUAAGGAGCUACAGCAAAAGGCAAUUUAAAUUAAAUGGCCAAAGUAAAUAAUAUAUGAAGCAAAUUCUCCUUUGUUUCAGGCAAAGUUGCUUUAAAGCAGAGGCCUGAGGGCAUUCAACUAUUAAGAAAUAGCUAAAUUUUAUUCAAUAAUAAUGUACAUCAGGGAGGUCUUUAAUUCUGGUUUGCAAAGAGAUUUAGGUCAAUACAAAAGGUAAGUUGAGGACAGAUCCAAAUUCUGCUCAAGUCAGUGGAAGGUCAGGUGGCUCCAGGUGUCCCUGAAGAGUGGAGAAAUGAUUUUUGAGAUAAUAAGAGAGUACUAAUCAAAUACACUUGGGAAUAUCAACCCUGACUAGUAUCUAAAUCCAAUAUUAAUUUACAGUGGGACAAAAAGGUAAGAACUUCACGUCCACCUGGAGGUUUAGCAAGGAUUACAUCAACCAGUGGUACAAGGAGUGAUGUUAUAUCCAAAAAUAUUUAAGCAGGAUGAGCUGCCUGGCCCCUGUUUGCACUCCUAAUCACAAAACUUCUUUCAAACAACCAAACCACCUCUGUUACCACCACUGGAAGGAGACACCACCAGAAAAAAAAACAUUUCUUGGGGUAACUCAUUAGAGCUGCACAGAGCCCGUGGUGAAACAUUUGUCAAACAUACAAAAAAGGGAUAAAAGUGAAAUAUAGUAAUUAAGACCUGGGCUUUAUCGAUUGUGGGGCUCAAGUCAUUUUUCACAGCAAACAUAAGAUUUAAUAAGUAUAAGUAGUUAAAGCUCCUGCCUUGGCUGCUCUCAUUAGCAUGUCAUUGAACUGGUAACAAAGAGCAGCUCCUCGGGUGUUGAUCACCACCUUAUCUUUGAGAGGCAAUUAAGGGCCUCAAUCAUCACAACAAGAUUUGAUUGUGCAGCCCUUAUUGGACAUUGAUCUUUCAGCAGAGCAGUUACAUUUUCCAUUAAUUUACAGUAGCACAGUUUAACUGGGAUACCUGAGCCCCCUGACCCCGGGUGAGGUGGAACACCAAGAGCUCCUUCGGGUUAAGAUGCCCCCAACAGUCAUUAUUGUUUAAAGAGAUGCUCCGAGGAGGAGCCACCUGAUCCUCUGGGUUUAGGCUGAGGUUUCAUCUCUCUGAAGUAGUUAAGUGAGGUGAAACAAAGCUCUCUGCCUUUUUAACAUCGGCUCUCCCUCAUUUAAACAUCAUUCUUGAAUAGGGCAGAGAUAAUUAAGGCUUAGGAGAUGAACUCAGACUUUGUUUCAGAUGGAAGAGCAAACCUGUAAAGGCAGAAGGGUCAUUUUGUGGAGCAGUUAUUUCCCCCAAGAAAGUUUUGGGACAAGGUGCUGUGAGUCCUCUUGGCCCCCAGUAUUUCCAUCCUGCAUUCAAGCCAAAACCUAAGUGAUAAAAAAGAGACACUAAGCAGCGUGUACUUACAGCAAAAGGAGAGUGAAAGUCAGAUGAAACGUUUUACCUUUGAAGAAAAGCAAGUAGGUUUAUAUUCAUACUUGAAAAUUAUUGUAACUCCAGUGUUAUCCCUCAUAAACAGCCAGUUUUCCCUCUGAAAUCCUGUAAGAGCUCCCCCACGAGCCUUAAUGAAAGGAAUAAAUGAUAUUAUAUUUGCACUCUGCCCUCAGACAUCUUCCAGUUCAUCCUUCAGCACGAUCAGCUUCGUAAGAGCAAGAGGUCCAUUGAUUUUCAUGUAAUACAAGAAAAUAUUACAUUUGCUUAAUUGUUACACAGUGAGAUCAUUGAACAAGAAAUCAGGGCCCUAUUUAAUGCUGUGAGCAGCACAGAAUUGCAGGGAUCAAUAGGGUAGUUUGUCAGAGAUGUUCUCCAAGGAGCCUUGCCCAUCACUGUAUGGACAAGGAGGCGUGUUGCCUGCAGUUAUUGAAAAACAGGUAAGCAAAGUCAGCAGUGCCCAUUAUCAGAAAUCAAACAAGCUGCAGUGAGAGCAGCACCAGCUCCAAUGAAGUGCUGUAUUUAUGGUCUGGUAAUUAAAAACCAUUUUAUCAAGCCUGUGUUGAGCCCAAACCUUUACAGCCAGGUAUUGACGAGCUCCGUGGCAAUGAAUGAGCAGUAUUUGACUUUAAACUUAUGAGCUGCGGGUCUUUCAAAGGGAAAAUCAGCUCUGGGAAGAUGCUAAGAGCAACUUUUAUUAUUAAUGAGGGUUCUUGUAAUCCCAUCUCUUCAUCUGGGAGACACAGUAAACUUGUGUCAAGAACAGGCUCCAAAAUUAAACAAAAUGAAACUUCUCUGAUUAAAGUGUUUAGUGUUGCUUUUAGCAAAGCUGCACUUCAUUAAGUGGGAAGCACUUCCAGGGAAUUCAGGAGAAAAGUAUUUAAAUGACAUUUUCCUGUAGUCAAAGCUUGAUAAUAACUUACUGAGGAGCAGAGAUUGCCCUCCAAAACCAGCACCUGCCAAUUUUACGUUUAUUUUCCCACUUAUGAAAACUGGAAUGACCAAUUUACGUCACCAGACGUGGGAUUUGGAACCAUGAGCAUUAUUUGCUGGCACUAAAACCAAGCAUCAGUAAUAGAUCCUGUACAGGUCUCUCUGUUGUUUGAAAUUAAUGCCCCAUAAUUCCAUAUUUCCACUACCCAAAGAGCUCCCCAAAAGCUUCUUCUCUGCCCAGGUUUCCAACUGAAGUCAUUCUGUCAUUACAUGUGCCUGUAAGUUUUGCUGUUAAAACUGGAGAAAUCAGUUAUUUGCAUCAAAAAAAUGAGAGUAGUGUUCUUAUUCUCCUGUGUUAAUUAAAAAUAUCAGCAAUUUGUAAAUUAGCACAGGGGACUGAUUCUUCUAGAUCACUUAGGUUUUGUUACUUACCUAAAAAGCAAUUAAAAUUAAAAAUAAUAACACAUCUGGAGUUCCAAGAAUUGCAAAAGAUACGAGCAUCAAAUGUAUUUUAGAUCUUUUAUUUAAAUAUCAUUUAAAGAAAUGUGAUACAGCCAUUUUGAACUUCUCAGGCUCUUCCAGGUGAUUGUAAAGUCAGUGCCACAAAUUCAUUCAGACAAAGUUCCAACUCUAACAAUUAGUGCAUUGUGAAGCAUCCUGUCAAGAGUCUAAACGUGAGCAGCUUCAUCUUUUCAGAGACAUUCUGAAAAUGCCAGUGUGUUCAUAUUCACAUUUGACUUGUCCACAGGCAGUUCUCUAAUUUGGUAAAUGAUCUUUAAAUUAUCACAAGCUGUACCAGUCAGUGACUGCCAUAAACACCCUUAGAAAUAUUAAUUCUUCUCCCAAAGCUUCUACCUUUUCAACUUUACUGACCUCUGCAGAAAUAAAUC